AGAGAGAGAGAGAGAGAGAGAGAGAGAGCAUGAAAUAGAAAGAACCAUAUGUGACACUGACACACCACUUUCAUCAACAGGAUCAUACUAACAUAAAAUUAUUUAUUGUCACUUGUCAUUUUUGUGAGAGCUAGCUUACAUAGUUUGGACCAUACUAUGGUACGAAAAAUUAAUUGUCUAGCUAAUCUUCUUUUUGGAUCUUACAGAAUGCUGAGGUUAUAGGUUAUAACCUCAUUAAUUGUAGCUGUUUUUUCCAUUGUGUGAGAAGCCCUUAGUUAUUCAAUUUGGCUGAAUGUAGUAGAGAUUUUAGUGAGCUUAUACAAUUAUUAUCGUCCACUUGCUUUCCACUAACUCGAAAAUACUCCUCUCUCAAUCUCUCAGAAUAAAAGAGAGAGCACUAUUUUCAAUAUAUAUAAAUUUAGAUAACCUUGCCUUGGGAGUGGCUUAGCUGGCACACUACACGUGUAGUCAAAAGGCAAAGUCGGUUUUUCUUCAAAUGAGCUUGUGGCUGAUUUUAAUCGAUCUAGAACCAUCCAAGUUUUACUUUAUUUUACAGCCACAUGUUUUUAACUUGUGAGGACACCUAUAAUCACUUUCUUUCUUAGCUAUCUCUAUGUAGCUUUAUCUGCUAACCAAAUCUAAAACUUUCAUAGAUGAUCAUCAGCCUAGAGAUAGGUGAUAAAAUUUCACCCGCAGUUGGCAAAGCAAUCGAUGAAUCCAUAAUCUUGGUAAUCAAUUUUUUCAGGAAAAAAUGCUCAGUCGACAUGGUGUUUGGUUGAGCUAAUGCAAAUUCUUGGAUGCAAAUAAAAGAAAUGAGCAGAGGAUAACAAUUUAUCCAUUUCUUUAUUUGUACCAGUUCAUCCAAACACCAUGUGGACGAAGCAUAAUUUUAGGAGAAAAAUGAUUACCGAAAUCUUGGAUUCCUCAGUCCGUUGCUUUAGUUUUGUCUGCAAGUGGUUUCACGUCACUGAAGAACAUAUCAAAUUGGAGGGAUCCAGUGUUCCACGAUCUGGAUAUCACUGAAUAGUUUUUGUUUCUCUCAUGGUACUGACUUUUAUUGUGGCUGGGAAUAAUUGGAUCAGAAUACAUGCAAUACCAUAAUCGCAGAUCAUGCAGUAAUUAAAAUUCUGGUUCGUAUAAAAUUUGGAGCAACUGUAUGGCAGCCCGAACCCAGUAGAUGUGAUUGUAAUUCCAAAGCCGUUCACCAAUCAAACUUUUAGGACUUCAAUCAAUAUUAAGUUUAUAUAAUCUGAUUUAGUACUAGUUUGCUUACUGGGCUACAACAAAGUUUUUUUAGCAGUUAAUAUCUAUGCUUCUGUCAUUUUUUGUUGAAUACUAUAAGGACCUUUUCUCCAGCAUCAUAAUCUAGAAUAGCAUCAUAAUCUUGUUAUUCGUUGUACAGCUUAUUUUUCAUUUUCUGUAUUGUUCUUUUUUUAUGUAACAAGUGUAAUAUUUUAUUUUCUUGUUUGUGCUGCAAGUGUGUAUGUUGUGACACUGCUUUAUAUAUGAAAAAUAUCAAUCUAACACUGCUUUAUA